AGUGAACGCUGGCGGCAGGCCUAACACAUGCAAGUCGAACGGAAGCACAGUAAGAGCUUGUUCUUACGGGUGGCGAGUGGCGGAUGGGUGAGGAAUACAUCGCAAUCUACUUUUUCGUGGGGGAUAACGUAGGGACACUUACGCUAAUACCGCAUACGACCUACGGGUGAGAGCAGCGGAUCUUCGGACCUUGCGCGAUUCUAUGAGGCGAUGUCGGAUUAGCUAGUUGGCGGGGUAAAGGCCCACCAAGGCGACGAUCCGUAGCUGGUCUGAGAGGAUGAUCAGCCACACUGGAACUGAGACACGGUCCAGACUCCUACGGGAGGCAGCAGUGGGGAAUAUUGGACAAUGGGCGCAAGCCUGAUCCAGCCAUGCCGCGUGGGUGAAGAAGGCCUUCAGGUUGUAAAGCCCUUUUGUUGGGGAAGAAAAGCAGCAGGUUAAUACCCCGCUGUUCUGACGGUACCCAAAGAAUAAGCACCGGCUAACUUCGUG
rnacentral:rRNA from 1 species